rfam:Actinoalloteichus hymeniacidonis strain HPA177(T) (=DSM 45092(T)), complete genome.
UGGUUCGGAUGCUGUGAGGCCUCGGUCCGCUGUACUCACGGUCCUGACACACCUUCCCCGGUGCCAGGACGAGUAGGCGGGCGGGGACCUGACGGUAUCCGCCCCGGUGA